GACGAACGCUGGCGGCGUGCUUAACACAUGCAAGUCGAACGCUGAAGCUCAGCUUUUGUUGGGUGGAUGAGUGGCGAACGGGUGAGUAACACGUGAGUAACCUGCCCCCUUCUUUGGGAUAACGCCCGGAAACGGGUGCUAAUACUGGAUAUUCACUGGUCUUCGCAUGGGGGUUGGUGGAAAGGGUUUUUCUGGUGGGGGAUGGGCUCGCGGCCUAUCAGCUUGUUGGUGGGGUGAUGGCCUACCAAGGCUUUGACGGGUAGACGGCCUGAGAGGGUGACCGGGCACAUUGGGACUGAGAUACGGCCCAGACUCCUACGGGAGGCGGCAGUGGGGAAUAUUGCACAAUGGGCGCAAGCCUGAUGCAGCGACGCCGCGUGAGGGAUGGAGGCCUUCGGGUUGUGAACCUCUUUCGCUCAUGGUCAAGCCGCAACAAUGGUUGUGGUGAGGGUAGUGGGUAAAGAAGCGCCGGCUAACUACGUG
rnacentral:rRNA from 1 species